AAGACUAUACUUUCAGGGAUCAUUUCUAUAGUUUGUUACUAGAAAGAGAAUGAGAAUGAGCAGGGGAGGAGGCAGAGAGAGACAGAGAAUCUCAAGCAGA
rnacentral:snoRNA from 1 species